AACGAGUGCAGUGAGUAUGCCAUUCAGGGGAUGGCUUGGCUCAGGUAGCGAUGAAGGCCGUAGCAAGCUGCGAUAAGCCCAGGGUAGGCGCAGGCAGCCAUUGAACCUGGGAUUGCCGAAUAAUUCACCUCCAAAAGAGGCGAAGGAGCACGGGGGGAAUUGAAACAUCUUAGUACCCCCAGGAAAAGAAACCAACUGGUAUGGGGUCAGUAAAGGCGAUUGAACGCCCCACAGAGGCAAUUCGAAUCCUGCAGGGCAACUUGCAGGAGAUGUGAUUCAUUCCAUUCUCCUUCCGUCUAGCUGAAGUGCACUGGAAAGCGCUGCCAAAGAGAGUGACAGCCUCGUAUGCGAAAAGCGGAGGGUGAGGGGAUGUGCAGAGUAGCGUCCAUCGAGUAUUGGGCGCGAACACGGGAGCAACAACUCCCAACUCUAAAUAUAACCUGAGACCGAUAGCGUAAAGUAGCGCGAGCGAACGCUGAAAAGCACCCCGAAAGGGGAGUUAAAAGAACCUGAAACUGAGUGGCUACAGAGGGUACAGCCCGAAAGGAAUGCGGUCUCCCAGAAGCGAUAUGUAGAAAUAUAUAAAGCGACGGGAGAUUGAGCAGGGUUGUAUCGUUCUUCUUGAAGCAAGAGCCAAGGAGUUGCUGGAAGUGGUGAGCCGAAAGGCUGAGCGAAAGCGAGACUGCGCAGCACCGCAAGGUGUGAGGCAGGUGGUACGAAAGUGCCAUGAAUCACUUCCUGCAGACCCGAAGCCAAUGUGAUCUACACGCGAGCAGGGCGAAGCCGAUCCUCCGAUUGGUGGAGGCCCGCAACCGGUGCUAGUAUAUCUGCUCGGGUGACUUGCGUGUAGGGGUGAUAGUCCUAUCGAACUUGGCGAUAGCGGGUCCCCCCCGAAGUAUCCUGUAGGAUAGCCCCAUCAGAGGUUGAUUAUGAGGUAGAGCACUGAUCAGGCAGAACGGAGCCGAAAGGCUCCACUGUCUUCUCAAACUCCGAAUUCAUAAUCACCAUAGAAGAUGGGAGUCGGGCGCACCGGGUAAGCUGGUGUGCCGGGACGGGAACGACCGAGACCGAGGUUAAGGCCCCUAAAUCCUGACUGAGUGCUAAUCACAAAGGAGUCCCCAUUCUUAAACAGCUGGAAGGUAGGCUCAGAAGCAGCCAUCCUUUAAACAACGCGUAACAGCGGACCAGUCGAGAGUGCAGGCUCCGAAGAUUACCGGGGCUAAGUCAGGUGCCGAGACCCCGGAGGAUGCCACAAGCAUCAUCUGGUAGGGGGGUGUUCUGGCUGGGUAGAAGUUGGGGCGUGAGCUCCAAUGGACCUGUCAGAAAUAAAUAUCUUGGUGUUAGUAACAGCGAAUCCAGGUGAGAAUCCUGGACGCCGGAUAGCACACGGUUUUCUUAACAAUGUUCGUCAGUUAAGAGUAAGCCGAUCCUAAGCUCUCAGCUAAUUACUCGAGAGCAAACGGGAAACUGGUUAAGAUCCCAGUGCCUCGUGGGUAGACGUGGUGACACAAGGCCACUUCUGACGCUUGGGGAUAGGUGGAGUGAGCGAGAGCUCAUCUAACCUCUGCAGGACUGCAGAGACUCGUUAUGAGGAGAAGCAGUCUAACUCUGGGAAGGCCGCCGCAAGGUGGUUCCGUUGAUUCCUUGAGCCCGUGAAAAGGAAGCUGGCAGCGAUUCCGCGAGAUCGUACCUAGAACUAGUACAGGUGCUGCUGGCAGAGAAAGCCAAGGCGUGUCAGGAAAACUCAGGUAAGGGAACUCGGCAAUCCAGUGGCGUAACUUAGGAAGAAGCCAUGCCUGCAAUUGUGGCGCAAGCUGCAAUCGCAGGUCGCAGUGACAAGGGGACGUCGACUGUAUAUCAAAAACACAGCUCCCUGCAAAGUCGAAAGGCUUAGUAUAGGGGGCGAUGCCUGCUCACUACUGGUAUGUCAAACUCCAGUUCAAUGGAGCAAAGCACCAGCAAAGAGCGGGGGUAACUCUGACCCUCUUAAGGUAGCGUAAUACCUCGCCGCUUAAUUGGUGGCUUGCAUGAAUGGCAUAACGAGCGUCCCGCUGUCCCUACCUGGGACCUGGUGAACUCACUACUCGGUGAAGAUGCCGAGGACUUCUAGGGGGAAACGAAGACCCCGUGGAGCUUUACUAUAGUCUGUCGUUGGAAUACGGUGGUUGUUGCACAGCGUAAGCAGGAGCGUCGAAAUGCCCCUUGCGGGGGGUAUGAAUGCGAAAGUGAAACACUGCUCUUCAGUUGCUGUGUUCCUCACCUGUAAGGGAACAUCGGCAGAUGGAUAGUUUGGCUGGGGCGGUACGCCCUCGAUAAGGAAACAAGGGCGCCCAAUGCUAUGCUUAAGCGGGUCAGAAAUCCGCUGGUAAGGGUUAAAGACAAAUGCAUGGCUGACUGAAUCCUUAAAAGCGUGGGAUUCAGACUCGAAAGAGGGGCUUAACGAACCUUGGAAUCCCUUUUGUUGAGGGUCCAAGCUGACAGACAAGCUACCCCGGGGGUAACAGGCUCGUCGCAGGCGAGAGUACAUAUCGACCUUGCGGUUUGGUACAUCGCUGUCGGCCUAAGUCAUCCUGGUGGUGCAGGAGCCACCAAGGGUUGGGUUGUUCAUCCAUUAAAGACUUACACGAGCUGGGUUCAGAACGUCGCGAGACAGUUCGGUAGUAUCUCCUAGGAGUGUUGACUGCUUGAGAGUAUGGCUCCCCGAGUACGAGAGGAACGGGGAACCGGCGCCUCUAGUAUACCGGUUGUGUCAAGCAUCGCCGGGCAGCCACGCGCCAAAGGAUAAGACCUGAAAGCAUCUAAGGUCGAAACCAUUCUCAAAACGAGGCAG
rnacentral:rRNA from 1 species